rnacentral:rRNA from 1 species
UGAAUGGCAAGACGGAACCUUACUGUCUCUUUCUCUUUAAUUUGAAUUUCACAAUCCCGUGAAGAGGCGGGAAUUAUCUCGUUAGACGAGAAGACCCUGUCGAGCUGAAGUAAAGUCUUAACCUUUACUCACCCUUAACCCUACCUAAUAAAAUAAACUUAGUAGAAUAAUAAAGGCGUAAAAGAUUAAAACUCACUUUGAUUGGGGCAAUCGCGGAGAAAGAAAAUCCUCCGUUACUAACUGUUUAUUAUAUAACUUAGAUUAAAGAGCUAUAACUCUAAAAUCGUGAAGCGAAGGAAUGAUCCACUCAUAGUGAUCAAAAGAACAAGUUACCGCAGGGAUAACAGCGUUAUCUUUUCUGAGAGUUCAUAUUGACGAAAAGGUUUGCGACCUCGAUGUUGGAUCGGGACAUCCUAAGGGUGCAGAAGCUUUUAAGGGUUGGUCUGUUCGACCAUUAAAGUCCU